rfam:Picea glauca, whole genome shotgun sequence.
ACUCUUGUGGUGUAAUUCGAAACAUGCCUCCUUUUAGAGGAGGAGAAGGGGGUUGAAAUCCCUCCUAGAGUU